rnacentral:lncRNA from 1 species
AGUGAUAUGGUGUGAGCACUUAGUCUGCAAACCGGACUUUAGAUUCGAGUCUUUGAGGAAUUUGUAAGUGAUCUUGAUGUGCUAGGUAUGUUGUUAUUGGUGCAGCCGUGGCCUCUUGAUUCUUGACACCACCUUGUGUAGAACUUGUAUUGUUUGAUGUAGAAGCUUAAGCUUUUAAUUUAGGUUGCACAAGCUCAAAG